UUUCAGUAGGGUGGGAGCUGCCUUCCACUCAGAGCUAAAACUCCAGGUUCUACAGCUGCCUUUCCAGAGGUCAUGUUCACUGCUACCUUACAGGAGGCCUGGAACACCCCUCCUAUAUCUGCCCGUGGACCCAGCAGUCUGGACUUUUGCCCCAACAGAUCUGUGGUCUAAUGAUGGGAGGAAAGGCUUACAAUCGAGAAAAACCUACCCAGAGCCUAGCCUUUCCCCUGCCCAUUGGGCGUGUCUGUUCCUGUCCCUGUCUGACACCUGGCUGUGAAGGACAUCGAAGUCAUUGGGUGACACUGGUCAGUUACCCCAGACGAAAGCGGAGGUUGAGUCCUUAGCUUACAACGCAGGAGUGUCAUGAUGACCGAGUAUUAGCUCCCAGGUUAUAUGGUUGCACACACUCAGGGCCAACAAAACCAAAGGCAAAAACCAAUGGCAGGAGCAGCAAGAACGUGAGGAGACUAGAGAGUCAAGGGUGACCAGAGUCCAGCCCAGCGGAUUGUGUGUGCCCAGCUGCUCUGGGAUCGUCAGACAGGAGGAGAAUGCAAACCCCAAGACCUGGGUGAUGCU